UACGAAGGGGGCUAGCGUUGCUCGGAAUCACUGGGCGUAAAGCGCGCGUAGGCGGAUCUUUAAGUCAGGGGUGAAAUCCCAAGGCUCAACCUUGGAACUGCCUUUGAUACUGGGGAUCUCGAGUCCGGAAGAGGUGAGUGGAACUGCGAGUGUAGAGGUGAAAUUCGUAGAUAUUCGCAAGAACACCAGUGGCGAAGGCGGCGAUCUGGACAGAUAUUGACGCUGAGGUGCGAAAGCGUGGGGAGCAAACAGG
rnacentral:rRNA from 1 species